rnacentral:rRNA from 1 species
GAAUAUUGGACAAUGGGGGCAACCCUGAUCCAGCCAUGCCGCGUGUGUGAAGAAGGCCUUCGGGUUGUAAAGCACUUUAAGCAGGGAGGAAGGCUAUACGGCGAAUACCCGUGUAGAUUGACGUUACCUGCAGAAUAAGCCCCGGCUAACUCCGUGCCAGCAGCCGCGGUAAUACGGAGGGUGCAAGCGUUAAUCGGAAUUACUGGGCGUAAAGCGCGCGUAGGCGGUUUGUUAAGCGAGAUGUGAAAUCCCCGGGCUUAACCUGGGAAUUGCAUUUCGAACUGGCAGGCUAGAGUGUAGAAGAGGGGUGUGGAAUUUCCGGUGUAGCGGUGAAAUGCGUAGAGAUCGGAAGGAACACCAGUGGCGAAGGCGACACCCUGGUCUAACACUGACGCUGAGGUGCGAAAGCGUGGGGAGCAAACAGG